UACGUAGGGUGCGAGCGUUAAUCGGAAUUACUGGGCGUAAAGCGUGCGCAGGCGGUUUUGUAAGCCAGAUGUGAAAGCCCCGGGCUUAACCUGGGAAUGGCAUUUGGGACUGCAAGGCUGGAGUGUGGCAGAGGAGACUGGAAUUCCUGGUGUAGCAGUGAAAUGCGUAGAUAUCAGGAGGAAUACCGAUGGCGAAGGCAGGUCUCUGGGCUGACACUGACGCUCAUGCACGAAAGCGUGGGGAGCGAACAGG
rnacentral:rRNA from 1 species